CACAAAUCCACCUCCUACUCCAACAGGGCUUCCACUGUUGAGGUCUAAAAAGCUGGAUUUGUAUGUCAUCCUGCUGUGUGUGUGAGUGAGCGCAGGGAGGGGAGCUGCCUCCCUGUUUCUAUAGAAACCAGUAUUGUGUGAUGGAACGCAGCGUUUGUGAUGCGUAACCAUGUGUGUGCUGUUCCAUGUUGAAGUCCGGUCCUUCCUGGUCGUUUCAGGGCUGCAGAAGGUUCACUUGAAGGCCUUGGACGGGCAGCGGUACUCCACCCUGGAGAGGCAGUGCUUGCAGAGUGGCCUGCUCUUUGAGACCCCCGCUUCCCCGCCAUCGACCACUCGCCGUUCCACCACGCCAACAGGAUGGGACGCGUGGUGUGGAAGAGGCCUCGCUUAAGAACACUCGCGGGUCAGGUAGUUAGCAGCCUUGGAACUGCACACAGGUUUUUUGCAGUGGCCGAACAUUGAGAAAAGGCCACAAUGACUCUGUGGCCCUAAAAGGACUCGAGAUGACGAUGAAAGCUCUUGGGACAAAACGUCCUCAUCCAAAGGGCGCAUCCCAAAGAAGAGGGUCCGACGCCGUCAGAGACUUGACACCGGCGUCAGAGCGCCAUUGCUCGCCCGAUACGAAAGGCCCGAAAGCUCCGGGCAGCGUGUCAGCGUGACUCGAGCAAUGAGGAAAGACCAAGAGGAAAGGAAGCACAAUCAGAGGAGGCGAGAAGAGGAUUAGCGUUUUGUUUACGCUAAUUGUAGCCUCGGCUAUUUUGGUGUUCUCCUAGUCCGGUAGUAGUUAAGCGCUAUUUGGUGACUCUCUGG
ensembl:lncRNA